GCUCUAUGAUGAACCCCAUGCGUGUCAUCUGAGCCUGGCUCCCUGUCUCGGCCCAGGUAGUGUUCUACUUCCCAGGGCUAUUGUCUGGCCUGGCAAAGGAUCAAAAUUUGAAUUCUGAGAGC